ensembl:miRNA Gm23945 predicted gene, 23945
GAAGCUGAGAAUUCCAGCCUGAGAUGCAUAGUGCCACCAUGUCUCAAAAGCAAACAGUGCCGGGCAGUGGUGGCGCAUGCCUUUAAUCCCAG